rnacentral:lncRNA from 1 species
AAUCUAGGUGUUGGAAUAAAAAAAAUCACAUUGGAACGUGGGAUUAAAAAAAAAGGUGGGGGGAAGUUUGGAAAAAGGUGGGGGUCUCCAACCAAUGAAAAUGUUUAAGUGGGUUGAGUGGCUCCUAUUUUUGGGGGAGUUGGUUAUUCAUUUUUUUAAUAUAAAUAUUCUGCAUUAAAGAGAAAAAAAAAAAAGGAGGAGAAAGGAGGACAGAAAAACAGGAGAAGACGACAGAAGAAGAAAAUUGUUGCAGAAGGAAAAUUGCAGGAGCACAAAUACAAGAGGAGACAUUUUCACAGGUAUAUAGAUCCUGUCAAUUAAUUCUUGUUGGGUGGCAACCCUAAAAUCAUUCUCUUGGAUGAUGAAUCCAUAUUGGGUGGCAACCCUCAAAUAAAACUCUUGGAUGAUAAAUCCAUAAUGGGUGGCAACCCUUAAAUCAUGAACAACAAAUCCAUGAGAGGAUUUCUGUUUAACAAAGCUCUGCCGAGCAAAAGAAAAUCCUUUGAAAUGGAUACAAAAUAUUGGAUACAAAAUCCAUCAUGGGUGUGUAACCCUCAAUCAAAUACCCUGAAUGGUAUAUCCAUUUUUGGGCAUAAAACUCAUUCAGUGAGUUCUCAAGAGCACAAAUCCAAUUUGGGUACAAAACCCACGAACAUAAUCAUG